rnacentral:rRNA from 1 species
AUGAACGCUGGCGGCGUGCCUAAUACAUGCAAGUCGAGCGAACAGACGAGGAGCUUGCUCCUCUGACGUUAGCGGCGGACGGGUGAGUAACACGUGGAUAACCUACCUAUAUGACUGGGAUAACUUCGGGAAACCGGAGCUAAUACCGGAUAAUAUAUUGAACCGCAUGGUUCAAUAGUGAAAGACGGUUUUGCUGUCACUUAUAGAUGGAUCCGCGCCGCAUUAGCUAGUUGGUAAGGUAACGGCUUACCAAGGCGACGAUGCGUAGCCGACCUGAGAGGGUGAUCGGCCACACUGGAACUGAGACACGGUCCAGACUCCUACGGGAGGAAGCAGUAGGGAAUCUUCCGCAAUGGGCGAAAGCCUGACGGAGCAACGCCGCGUGAGUGAUGAAGGUCUUCGGAUCGUAAAACUCUGUUAUUAGGGAAGAACAAAUGUGUAAGUAACUAUGCACGUCUUGACGGUACCUAAUCAGAAAGCCACGGCUAACUACGUG